rnacentral:rRNA from 1 species
GAUGAACGCUAGCGGGAGGCCUAAUACAUGCAAGUCGAGCGGUAGAGUGACUUCGGUUGCUUGAGAGCGGCGAACGGGUGAGUAACGCGUACACAAUCUACCUUUAAGAGGGGAAUAGCCCUGGGAAACUGGGAUUAAUGCCCCAUGGCAUCACGAGACGGCAUCGUUUUGUGAUUAAAGCUGAGGUGCUUAGAGAUGAGUGUGCGUCUGAUUAGCUAGUUGGUGCGGUAACGGCGCACCAAGGCGACGAUCAGUAGGGGGCGUGAGAGCGUGGACCCCCUACACGGGUACUGAGACACGGACCCGACUCCUACGGGAGGCAGCAGUAAGGAAUAUUGGUCAAUGGAGGAAACUCUGAACCAGCCAUCCCGCGUGCAGGGAGAAUGCCCUAUGGGUUGUAAACUGCUUUUAUCUGGGAAGAAAAGUCGGGAUUUAUCCUGAUCUGACGGUACCAGAGGAAUAAGCACCGGCUAACUUCGUGCCAGCAGCCGCGGUAA